GGGCAUUUGGUUUAGUGGUAUGAUUCUCGCUUCAGGUGUGACAGGUCUUGAGUUCAAUUCUCAGAAUGCCCC
rnacentral:tRNA from 1 species